rnacentral:rRNA from 1 species
GACGAACGCUGGCGGCGUGCUUAACACAUGCAAGUCGAACGGAAAGGCCCUGCUUUUGUGGGGUGCUCGAGUGGCGAACGGGUGAGUAACACGUGAGUAACCUGCCCUUGACUUUGGGAUAACUUCAGGAAACUGGGGCUAAUACCGGAUAGGAGCUCCUGCUGCAUGGUGGGGGUUGGAAAGUUUCGGCGGUUGGGGAUGGACUCGGGGCUUAUCAGCUUGUUGGUGGGGUAGUGGCUUACCAAGGCUUUGACGGGUAGCCGGCCUGAGAGGGUGACCGGCCACAUUGGGACUGAGAUACGGCCCAGACUCCUACGGGAGGCAGCAGUGGGGAAUAUUGCACAAUGGGCGGAAGCCUGAGGCAGCAACGCCGCGUGCGGGAUGACGGCCUUCGGGUUGUAAACCGCUUUCGCCUGUGACGAAGCGUGAGUGACGGUAAUGGGUAAAGAAGCACCGGCUAACUACGUG